GCCUGGGUGGCGGAAUUGGUAGACGCGACGGAUUCAAAAUCCGUUGGUGGUGACACUGUGUGGGUUCGAGUCCCACCCUAGGUACCA
rnacentral:tRNA from 2 species